rnacentral:rRNA from 1 species
AUGGGCCUUAGCCCAUCAUUCCUCCAUCGCAGGCCGCAGUAUAUAAAUGGCGAUCCUCCCUUCCACGCCGCCCCCUCCCACCUAGGGUUUCAGUUAUGCGCCGCCGCCUCCUGCCGUGCGCCCAUCUCCCCCCUCUCGCCGCCGCAAUCGCCGUCGGAUGCCUCGAAUGAGGAUCCAGUGCUGCUUGCGAGUAGGCGACCAAAUAAGCAGCUCCCCCUUUGGGAGCCGCAGUCCCCAAUCGAAGCAGCAAGAGCAGCAGCUUUUUUGGGAGCGGCGAUCCGCAAUCAAGCGGCCCUUCUCCGAGCUGCAACCGGCAAUCCAAGCAAUCAAGCGGCUCCUCUCUGA